CAGACUUCUAUGCACUCCGAAAGCCUCUUUAUGCACUCGAGCAAGAAACACCCGCCGCUACCGCCUUUUUUAUAUGAAGAUAAAACGCUGCCUGAAAGCCAAUAUGUGAGAAUAAAACUCUUCCAAGUAAAGCACCAAACUUAAAGCCUCUGUGGAUUUGCAGAUAUCAUGUGAUCAAAUGUAAGGGGGGGGAAAAAAUUGCGUUUCACAUUCUCUCAGUUACAUUAUUAGUUUUGGAGAGAGGAAAAUCCCCUGGAUGUGUGUGUUGUUGUUUUUUUAUUUUAUUUCCCCUCGAAAACAAAUACCGUAGACAUAUUUAACACUAAAUGUGCCGAAAAUUUGAAGGUGAAGCAACACAUGUAGACAGACAAUAAAUUAAUACUCUGUGAUCAGUGGUAAAAUAGAAUAGGUCACGUGACUAGAAUCAGGAAGUAAGGGCAUGUUUCAGCACAGUGUUGAAAGAGAACGCUGCUUGUUCAGUUCGGCAAAUCUACUACCUACAUUUUGUGUUAUACAAGCCUUCGUUGGAAACCUGGAGUCAACCUUCAACCUGUUCUUCAGAGUCUUGAUGAGUGAAAGUGGUUGAGCUUACUGUCUUCGGAUAUUCAACAUAUUUGGAGGGCAGGAUUAUAACCAUCUGGCCUUCAGUCCCGACCUGCCAAAGAAACAAGACGUCGACAUCCCCCAAGACAAUAGCUUUCCUUUUUGGGCCGCCGCGUCUAAUCUGUCGUUGCGUCCAAACACGACAGCGAACGUCACAACUCGUAAACGAGGGCAGACAAUUCCCCUGCGCACUUUGUCAGUACUGUUUUUGUUUCCUUCAUUGCUGCACUUUAUAUUUAUCUUAUCUUAUUUCAUAUUUAUAUAGAAAUGUCAUUCCUUUGUUGAGAGCCGUAUGCAACGUAAUUUCGUUUUGUGUGCACUGAGUGUUUACAAAAUGACAAUAAAGUCUG